AAGACCUUGCGCUUUUGGAGCGGCCGAUGCCUGAUUAGCUUGUUGGUAAGGUAAAGGCUUACCAAGGCUUCGAUCAGUAGCUGGUCUGAGAGGACGGCCAGCCACACUGGGACUGAGACACGGCCCAGACUCCUACGGGAGGCAGCAGUGGGGAAUUUUGGACAAUGGGGGAAACCCUGAUCCAGCCAUGCCGCGUGAGUGAAGAAGGCCUUCGGGUUGUAAAGCUCUUUCAGCCGGAACGAAACGGUUACGGAUAAUACCCGUGACUACUGACGGUACCGGAAGAAGAGGCACCGGCUAACUACGUGCCAGCAGCCGCGGUAAUACGUAGGGUGCGAGCGUUAAUCGGAAUUACUGGGCGUAAAGCGUGCGCAGGUGGUUUUGUAAGUCAGAUGUGAAAGCCCCGGGCUCAACCUGGGAACU
rnacentral:rRNA from 1 species